rnacentral:rRNA from 1 species
UCUUCCCUCUUUCUUCGUGCCUAAUACAUGCAAGUCGAGCGAACAGACGAGGAGCUUGCUCCUCUGACGUUAGCGGCGGACGGGUGAGUAACACGUGGAUAACCUACCUAUAAGACUGGGAUAACUUCGGGAAACCGGAGCUAAUACCGGAUAAUAUAUUGAACCGCAUGGUUCAAUAGUUAAAGACGGUUUUGCUGUCACUUAUAGAUGGAUCCGCGCCGCAUUAGCUAGUUGGUAAGGUAACGGCUUACCAAGGCAACGAUGCGUAGCCGACCUGAGAGGGUGAUCGGCCACACUGGAACUGAGACACGGUCCAGACUCCUACGGGAGGCAGCAGUAGGGAAUCUUCCGCAAUGGGCGAAAGCCUGACGUAGCAACGCCGCGUGAGUGAUGAAGGUCUUCGGAUCGUAAAACUCUGUUAUUAGGGAAGAACAAAUGUGUAAGUAACUAUGCACGUCUUGACGGUACCUAAUCAGAAAGCCACGGCUAACUACGUG